AUGGGACCCAGACUGCAGUUUAUUAUUAUCUUUAAAGAAGUAAAUGAGAGGGGUGACCAGUGCCCUGGAACAAGUCAUAAAGGAGCCUGUUAACCAAACCCUGCUAGUUAGGUCACCAGAGACCUGUCCUUGAAUAUUCAAUAAGAAGUCUGCUUUUGGGUAGGUGCAAUUGAUUGUGGUCAGGAAUUGGAAUCACGUGGUCCAGAGUCAGCUCAGCAGGGACUGUGGAUAAGUUAUAGGAAUCAGAUGUAGACUUGGCAUCUGCCUACUAAGCUUUGCCAAAGAAUGUAGUUAGAGCUUAAAGAAAUUCUACUUUUGACACAAGAACUGAAAAUGUGUUGACUCCUUUAAUGAAGAUUUCUAGAGCUAAUCAAUGGCUUUUUCCUGUAACACAUCCUUUUCAGAAUAUAUACAUCAUACUUCUGCCAUGAGAGAAGGCUUUAUGAAAUUCACUCCAGUUUUAGAUUGCUUCAUUUCUGAAAUAAUGGUUUUUAAUUGUAUAGCAAAUUGUAGUUUGUUAGUUCUCAAGAAUUACUGGCCUAAGUCUUUGUAUAAUUCAUAUAUAACAUAACUACAGAAUGGAAGAGAAAAAAUAUUUUCAUUUCACAAUAUUACACAAAUAAACUUUAUACUUUUAACA
rnacentral:lncRNA from 12 species